AGGACGAACGCUGGCGGCGUGCCUAACACAUGCAAGUCGAACGAGGUCCAUCCUUCGGGAGAAGACCUAGUGGCGAACGGGUGAGUAACACGUGAGGAACCUGCCCCGAAGACCGGGAUAACCCUCCGAAAGGAGAGCUAAUACCGGAUACCCCCACCGAGCCGCAUGGUUUGGUGAGGAAAUGGAUUCCGCUUCGGGAGGGCCUCGCGGCCUAUCAGCUAGUUGGUGGGGUAACGGCCCACCAAGGCAUCGACGGGUAGCUGGUCUGAGAGGACGAUCAGCCACACUGGGACUGAGACACGGCCCAGACUCCUACGGGAGGCAGCAGUGGGGAAUCUUGCGCAAUGGGCGAAAGCCUGACGCAGCAACGCCGCGUGGGGAUGAAGGCUCUCGGGUUGUAAACCCCUUUCAGCAGGGACGAAUCAAGACGGUACCUGCAGAAGAAGCCCCGGCUAACUACGUG
rnacentral:rRNA from 1 species